rnacentral:rRNA from 1 species
AACGGUCCAGACUCCUACGGGAGGCAGCAGUGGGGAAUUUUGGACAAUGGGCGCAAGCCUGAUCCAGCAAUGCCGCGUGAGUGAAGAAGGCCUUCGGGUUGUAAAGCUCUUUUGUCAGGGAAGAAACGGUAUGGGCUAAUAUCCCGUACUAAUGACGGUACCUGAAGAAUAAGCACCGGCUAACUACGUGCCAGCAGCCGCGGUAAUACGUAGGGUGCAAGCGUUAAUCGGAAUUACUGGGCGUAAAGCGUGCGCAGGCGGUUUUAUAAGUUUGUCGUGAAAGCCCCGGGCUCAACCUGGGAAUGGCGAUGAAGACUGUAAGGCUAGAGUGUGUCAGAGGGGGGUAGAAUUCCACGUGUAGCAGUGAAAUGCGUAGAUAUGUGGAGGAACACCGAUGGCGAAGGCAGCCCCCUGGGAUAACACUGACGCUCAUGCACGAAAGCGUGGGGAGCAAACAGGAUUAGAUACCCUGGUAGUCCACGCCCUAAACGAUGUCUACUAGUUGUCGGGUCUUAAUUGACUUGGUAACGCAGCUAACGCGUGAAGUAGACCGCCUGGGGAGUACGGUCGCAAGAUUAAAACUCAAAGGAAUUGACGGAA